rnacentral:rRNA from 1 species
CCCGAAGUAGAAAGAGUUAACUUAUCUGAGGUUAGCGUGUCAAAGCUAUCUCUAAGAUAAGUUAGAGGCGAUAUACCAAUCAAUUUCUAUAUAUCUGGUUUGAUCUGUUUAAAUUUAAUUUUUACGUAGAUUUAAAGAUCUAUUUAGGUACAGUAGGGGGGCAAGCUCUCUAUAUUGGUCUGUGUGGUUUUGUUAAAGUAGGUUUAAUAAUCUUUAUUGAUUUUUAAUAAAAUUUUAUUAUCCAGAGAAGGGUCAAACUACAAAUCUUUAUAGGUAGUUGAUAAUAAGUAUAUUAGUAAUUAUUAUGUGCAGGCUUGGUUAGAUUUAACUAUAGGUUUAAUAAUAGGUAGAUUAAAAAAGAACUCGGCAAUAUUGAUUUCGCAUGUUUAACAAAAACAUCUCUUGAUGUAAUUUCAGGUAACCUCUGCCCUAUGAAUAGUUUAAAUGGCCGCAGUACUUUGACUGUGCAAAGGUAGCAUAAUCACUUGUCUCUUAAUUGGAGGCUGGAAUGAAAGAGGCGACGAAACUCAAACUAUUAAGUUCAAAUGUGAAAUUAACAUAAAGGUCAAAAGGCCUUCAUAUAUCAAAGGGACGAUAAGACCCUAUAAAACUUUACUAUAAAACUAAAUCUUCUUAGGCAGGAUUGAGAUCUAUAGUUUAACUGGGGCGGUUUAUAUAUAAACAAUUGAAAUAGAAAAUAUUACUAUAGAUUUAGAGAGCUCUAAAAGGAAAUGAAUAAGUUACUUUAGGGAUAACAGCAUAAUUCCCCCAGAGAGUCCUAAUUGGCGGGGGGGCUUAUGACCUCGAUGUUGAAUUGGGGUGUCUAGUAUAAGUAGAAAUAUAUUAAGAUAGUCUGUUCGACUAUUAAACCCCCACAUGAUUUGAGUUCAGACCGGCGCGAGCCAGGUUGGUUUCUAUCUUUUGAAAGUUACGGAUUUAAAUUGUACGAAAGGACCUUUA